UCCUCUAAUGGCACAGUAACUCUGAGAAAACACAAUAGACAACUGGUGAUAUAAAAAUCCAUCCAACCUGGUUUUUUGUUUUAACAAAUGGGGCUAUGUGUUAUAAACAUUUUAUUCUGGUUUGUUUAGUAAUGACUGUCUCGAU